UGCGUAUGUCCCAACCAUCAUCACUCCUUCCGUCGGGUUGUAAACCAUGCCUUCCACGAAAUCCGGGAUUUUCGACUUGUCACCGUCUUUGGGCGCGAAAGAAUCAAUGUAACCUUGAGCUAAGGCUUGAAGAUCUCCCUUGACUGGUAUGUAAGUGAGUCUCAUGUACUCCUUGAUUUUAAUAAGCUUGAUCUCAGCAGCUACAAGGAGUCCAAGAGUUCCUUGCGACCACGGGAUUGCGUAGAAAAGAUCGGAAUACUCAUUAUCCUUUGUGGCACGGACAAGUUCCCCACCCGCAAGAACGAUCUCGUAAGCCUCAACGGUAUCCGCAAACAAACCGUGGAUGUGAGAGCUUCCUUCAAUACCAUAUCCAUUGAUGAGUCCACCAACGGUAAGGUCGUCAAGCUCAGCAACAACAGCGAGAGACAGGUUCAUUGGAACGGUGGCACGGGAAAUCUGUCCCAUGUUGACAAGAGGCUCCACUCUAGCAAUCAUCUUCUCCUUGUUGAUCUCAAGGAUGUUACGGAACUCGCCCAAGUCAACCUCGAAAUGGCGGGCUCUCUUGUAGUCAACGUUCCUCAUUCCCACGGCGAUCCACGGCUUACGAGCAGUGCAGACAAGCCCGUCCUUGGCAGCAUCCCUAUUCUUAAGCCUUUUGAUGACUUUCUUGACAUUCUCGUCGUGUUCCUUCUGGCGUUUCUCAUAUGACUUGGACUCGGACCACAUGUCCCCGAGGUAGAUGAGGAAAUAGAAUGUGGCU
rnacentral:lncRNA from 1 species